GAGCCCAGUGCAGGAGAUAUCUGAUAUAAAGAAAUCAUUGGCCAAGAUGAAGGCCUGGAUGGAGAUGCAGCAAUUCGCACAAUCUACUCAAAACCUCUCAUCACCAACAAUUGCUAGAUUUGCUCAGGCAUCCUCGCCGGAUAUUAUAUAUAUUGGUAAGAGAUGCGUCUUGCUUAGUUAGGGAAAUCGUGAUGUAGUUGCUCGUGGUCAAGUACACGAAGUUAAUCCAAAUGCAGUUGUCCAUUGCGAACCAUUGGAGGAGGGAGCUUUUGUUAUUAUCCUGACUAAGAUUAUACAUCCUGAUACUCAUUUGUGGAAAGAAGAUGGGUACGCAUCUACACUUGGAGAGGCCGGUCUGGGAUCAUUUGUGCAAUGGGGGAAUGAAUCUUUGAGAUUUUGAUAAUUUAAAAAAAUUUUGUCUCUAUAAUUGAACUUGGUGUGGAUGCUUUUUUUAGUUACUUUAUAUGAUGUUUUGCUUGUUUUUUCCUUAAUUUUGAACUAAUUUGGCACUUUAUAGAUCAACAUAUUGAUGGUCUACAUGUUUUUUUUUAGUUACUUUAUAUGUUGUUUGGUUUGGUUUUUAUAAUUUUGAAUGAAUUUUAUACUCUAUAUUUAAACAUAUUAGACUCCAUUUGGUCGUCACAAACCAAAUGGAGCCUAAGCCCCUUUUUAACUCCGCCAAUGCAACUCCUUGCAUUGCCGAUCCCAAGCCUGGGUAAAGGAGGAGGGAGAAUGAACAUCAAGGUGAGUUGUGUACUUUUCAAUCAUUUUCUGAGAGGGAUUUUUAAAAUGCUUGAUGGUUAAUUUCAAUAGUUUUCUGGCUUCUUCUACUAUCAUUUGAGGACCUCAAAGGCCCAACUAACUUGAGAUUUUUAUAUGCAAGCUGAUGUAUUUUUAGCCCCACAGAUCAAUGUUGCCACUACAAGGUUUAAUAUUUAAAUGUGAUUAUCAGAAGCAGUGGGCCAUCAUUAAAAGAUUACCCUUGUAGUGAGUCCAAUCAAGGCUGACAAGCUAAAGAAGUCACUGGAGGAUGAAAUUCAUUUUCUCAAGAGAAGGGUUUCAAAACUUGAAAGUGAUCUUGUGUCAAAGUCCACAGAAGUUACAUCUGCAGUUUCAGAGAAAGAAGAAGCUCUAUCUCAAGCAAAUACUUCUGCAUUUCUAAAUAAGCAUUAUUACAUUAUAUGGAGGGUGUUUACUAUGUUAGAGUGUAUUUGUUUCUUGCACAUGAGGGCAUGCCUUAGUUGUAAUUCUUAUGAUAGGUUGAGCAAAGUGAAGUAUUGUUUAUUUAGAAAUGUGAA